rnacentral:rRNA from 1 species
CUUGAAUAAAAUAAGAGGUCCAGCCUGCCCAGUGAAAUUAUUCAACGGCCGCGGUAUCCUAACCGUGCGAAGGUAGCGUAAUCACUUGUUCUUUAAAUGAGGACUAGUAUGAAUGGCACCACGAGGGUUCUACUGUCUCCUUUUUUUAAUCAGUGAAACUAAUCUCCCCGUGAAGAAGCGGGGAUCUUUAUAUAAGACGAGAAGACCCUAUGGAGCUUUAAACAACCAACAUUUGCUACACCAUAACAUUUUCCCUAAAAGAAGUAUAGCAUUAUGAUUGUUAGUUUUCGAUUGGGGUGAUCACGGAGUAAAAUAUAACCUCCAUGCCGAAAGGGUUCUUACCCUGAGCAAAAAGCCACAGCUUUAAGCACUAAAAAAUUAACGCAGUUUGACCCAAUAUUUUGAUCAACGAAC